AAAGUCGUAACAAGGUUUCCGUAGGUGAACCUGCGGAAGGAUCAUUAUCACGUAUCCACGUAUAAACCAUUGUGAACCGUUCUUAUUAACCUUUGUAAUGGGCUAAGACAGUGUGAAUCAGAUAUUUUAAAACAGCAAUUGUGAUUGAGCUGUUGUUUGAUUCGCCACAGUCGAUGUUUCUCUCCGGAGUUCUCGAUCGUACUUAACCCAAACUUACAAAGUGUAUUCAAUCACUAUCUAUUAACCAUUUUAACCCAAUCUUUAUAACUUUAUGAACUAACUUUUAUUUUAUACUCUUCGGAGAUAAAAUUCAUUACGAAACAAAGAACAACUCUUAGCAACGGAUAUCUUGGUUCUC
rnacentral:misc_RNA from 1 species